GGGCCCGCACAAGCGGUGGAGUAUGUGGUUUAAUUCGAUGCAACGCGAAGAACCUUACCAAGGCUUAAAUGUAACACGAUCGGUUGAGAGAUCAACCUUUUUUCGAACGGGUUACAAGGUGCUGCAUGGUUGUCGUCAGCUCGUGCCGUGAGGUGUCGGGUUAAGUCCCAUAACGAGCGCAACCCCUAUUUUUAGUUACCAGCGAGUAAUGUCGGGAACUCUAAAGAAACUGCCCGUGCAAACGGAGAGGAAGGUGGGGAUGACGUCAAAUCAUCACGGCCCUUAUGUCUUGGGCUACACACGUGCUACAAUGGUUAUUACAAUGAGAGGCAAACUGGUGACAGUAAGCUAAUCUAUAAAAUAACCUCAGUUCGGAUCGGAGUCUGCAACUCGACUCUGUGAAGUUGGAAUCGCUAGUAAUCGCACAUC
rnacentral:rRNA from 1 species